rnacentral:rRNA from 1 species
AUGGCUCAGAACGAACGCUGGUAGCGUGGAUUAGGCAUGCAAGUCGGACGGGAUCCGGGGGGUAGCAAUAUCCCCGGUGAGAGUGGCGGAAGGGCGAGGAACACGUGGGCACCUGUCCGCGAGACGGGAAACCGCUGGAAACGGCGGCUAAUACCGGAUGCGGCGCCCGGAGACAUCUCCGGAGCGCCAAAGGGGGCGCAAGCUCCCGCUCGCGGAGGGGCCCGCGCAUCAUCAGCUUGUUGGCGGGGUGACGGCCCACCAAGGCUCACGAUUAGCUGGUCUGAGAGGAUGGCCAGCCGCACUGGGACUGAGAUACUGCCCAGACUCCUACGGGAGGCUGCAGUCGAGGAUCAUUUGCAAUGGGCGAAAGCCUGACAAUGCGACGCUGCGUGGGAAGGACGAAGGCCUUCGGGUCGUAAACUCCUGUCAUAGGGGAACAGGCGAGGGGGCCCAACACGCCCCCGAGUUGAGUGUACUCUAAGAGGAAGCGACGGCUAACUCUGUGCCAGCCGCUGC